GAGUGGAUCCUGAGUACGACGGAGCACGUGAAAUUCCGUCGGAAUCUGGGAGGACCAUCUCCUAAGGCUAAAUACUCUCUAGUGACCGAUAGUGAACCAGUACCGUGAGGGAAAGGUGAAAAGCACCCCGGAAGGGGAGUGAAAUAGAACCUGAAACCGUGUGCUUACAAGUAGUCAGAGCCCGUUAAUGGGUGAUGGCGUGCCUUUUGUAGAAUGAACCGGCGAGUUACGAUUUGAUGCAAGGUUAAGCAGUAAAUGUGGAGCCGUAGCGAAAGCGAGUCUGAAUAGGGCGUUUAGUAUUUGGUCGUAGACCCGAAACCAGGUGAUCUACCCUUGGUCAGGUUGAAGUUCAGGUAACACUGAAUGGAGGACCGAACCGACUUACGUUGAAAAGUGAGCGGAUGAACUGAGGGUAGCGGAGAAAUUCCAAUCGAACCUGGAGAUAGCUGGUUCUCUCCGAAAUAGCUUUAGGGCUAGCCUCAAGUGAUGAUUAUUGGAGGUAGAGCACUGUUUGGACGAGGGGCCCCUCUCGGGUUACCGAAUUCAGACAAACUCCGAAUGCCAAUUAAUUUAACUUGGGAGUCAGAACAUGGGUGAUAAGGUCCGUGUUCGAAAGGGAAACAGCCCAGACCACCAGCUAAGGUCCCAAAAUAUAUGUUAAGUGGAAAAGGAUGUGGCGUUGCCCAGACAACUAGGAUGUUGGCUUAGAAGCAGCCAUCAUUUAAAGAGUGCGUAAUAGCUCACUAGUCGAGUGACACUGCGCCGAAAAUGUACCGGGGCUAAACAUAUUACCGAAGCUGUGGAUUGUCCUUUGGACAAUGGUAGGAGAGCGUUCUAAGGGCGUUGAAGCAUGAUCGUAAGGACAUGUGGAGCGCUUAGAAGUGAGAAUGCCGGUGUGAGUAGCGAAAGACGGGUGAGAAUCCCGUCCACCGAUUGACUAAGGUUUCCAGAGGAAGGCUCGUCCGCUCUGGGUUAGUCGGGUCCUAAGCUGAGGCCGACAGGCGUAGGCGAUGGAUAACAGGUUGAUAUUCCUGUACCACCUAUAAUCGUUUUAAUCGAUGGGGGGACGCAGUAGGAUAGGCGAAGCGUGCGAUUGGAUUGCACGUCUAAGCAGUAAGGCUGAGUAUUAGGCAAAUCCGGUACUCGUUAAGGCUGAGCUGUGAUGGGGAGAAGACAUUGUGUCUUCGAGUCGUUGAUUUCACACUGCCGAGAAAAGCCUCUAGAUAGAAAAUAGGUGCCCGUACCGCAAACCGACACAGGUAGUCAAGAUGAGAAUUCUAAGGUGAGCGAGCGAACUCUCGUUAAGGAACUCGGCAAAAUGACCCCGUAACUUCGGGAGAAGGGGUGCUCUUUAGGGUUAACGCCCAGAAGAGCCGCAGUGAAUAGGCCCAAGCGACUGUUUAUCAAAAACACAGGUCUCUGCUAAACCGUAAGGUGAUGUAUAGGGGCUGACGCCUGCCCGGUGCUGGAAGGUUAAGAGGAGUGGUUAGCUUCUGCGAAGCUACGAAUCGAAGCCCCAGUAAACGGCGGCCGUAACUAUAACGGUCCUAAGGUAGCGAAAUUCCUUGUCGGGUAAGUUCCGACCCGCACGAAAGGCGUAACGAUUUGGGCACUGUCUCAACGAGAGACUCGGUGAAAUCAUAGUACCUGUGAAGAUGCAGGUUACCCGCGACAGGACGGAAAGACCCCGUGGAGCUUUACUGUAGCCUGAUAUUGAAAUUCGGCACAGCUUGUACAGGAUAGGUAGGAGCCUUUGAAACGUGAGCGCUAGCUUACGUGGAGGCGCUGGUGGGAUACUACCCUAGCUGUGUUGGCUUUCUAACCCGCACCACUUAUCGUGGUGGGAGACAGUGUCAGGCGGGCAGUUUGACUGGGGCGGUCGCCUCCUAAAAGGUAACGGAGGCGCUCAAAGGUUCCCUCAGAAUGGUUGGAAAUCAUUCAUAGAGUGUAAAGGCAUAAGGGAGCUUGACUGCGAGACCUACAAGUCGAGCAGGGUCGAAAGACGGACUUAGUGAUCCGGUGGUUCCGCAUGGAAGGGCCAUCGCUCAACGGAUAAAAGCUACCCCGGGGAUAACAGGCUUAUCUCCCCCAAGAGUUCACAUCGACGGGGAGGUUUGGCACCUCGAUGUCGGCUCAUCGCAUCCUGGGGCUGUAGUCGGUCCCAAGGGUUGGGCUGUUCGCCCAUUAAAGCGGUACGCGAGCUGGGUUCAGAACGUCGUGAGACAGUUCGGUCCCUAUCCGUCGUGGGCGUAGGAAAUUUGAGAGGAGCUGUCCUUAGUACGAGAGGACCGGGAUGGACAUACCUCUGGUGUACCAGUUGUCGU
rnacentral:rRNA from 1 species